GGCCUCGUGGCCCAAUGGUCAAGGCGCCUGACUACGGAUCAGGAGAUUCCAGGUUCGACUCCUGGCGGGGUCA